rnacentral:rRNA from 1 species
UACGAGGGGGGCGAGCGUUGUUCGGAAUUAUUGGGCGUAAAGGGUGCGUAGGCGGUUUGGUAAGUCUCUUGUGAAAUCUAUGGGCUCAACUCAUAGUCUGCAAGGGAAACUGCCGGGCUUGAGUGUGGGAGAGGCGAGUGGAAUACCGAGUGUAGAGGUGAAAUUCGUAGAUAUUCGGUGGAACACCAGUGGCGAAGGCGGCUUGCCAGAACGCGCUCGACGGUGAGGGAUGAAAGCUGGGGGAGCAAACCGG